GGGCCCGAAGUUUAAAUGGUUGAACAUCUGGCUGGCAGCUAGAGGGUAGCGGGUUCGAUCCCCGUCGGGUCCA
rnacentral:tRNA from 4 species